GAUGAACGCUGGCGGCGUGCUUAACACAUGCAAGUCGAACGAAGCAUUUCCUUUUCUUCGGAAAAGGAAAUGACUGAGUGGCGGACGGGUGAGUAACGCGUGGGUAACCUGCCUCAUACAGGGGGAUAACAGCUGGAAACGGCUGCUAAUACCGCAUAAGCGCACAAUGCUGCAUGGCAUAGUGUGAAAACUCUGGUGGUAUGAGAUGGACCCGCGUCUGAUUAGCUAGUUGGUAAGGUAAUGGCUUACCAAGGCGACGAUCAGUAGCCGACCUGGGAGGGUGACCGGCCACAUUGGGACUGAGACACGGCCCAAACUCCUACGGGAGGCAGCAGUGGGGAAUAUUGCACAAUGGGCGAAAGCCGGAUGCAGCGACGCCGCGUGAGCGAAGAAGUAUUUCGGUAUGUAAAGCUCUAUCAGCAGGGAAGAAAAAAAUGACGGUACCUGACUAAGAAGCACCGGCUAAAUACGUGCCAGCAGCCGCCGUAAUAC
rnacentral:rRNA from 1 species